UACGUAGGGUCCGAGCGUUGUCCGGAAUUAUUGGGCGUAAAGGGCUCGUAGGCGGUUUGUCGCGUCGGGAGUGAAAACACCGGGCUUAACUCGGUGCUUGCUUUCGAUACGGGCAGACUGGAGGUAUGCAGGGGAGAACGGAAUUCCUGGUGUAGCGGUGAAAUGCGCAGAUAUCAGGAGGAACACCGGUGGCGAAGGCGGUUCUCUGGGCAUUACCUGACGCUGAGGCACGAAAGCGUGGGUAGCAAACAGG
rnacentral:rRNA from 1 species